CCCUUAGAUGUCCGGGGCUGCACGCGUGCUACACUGAUAUUGCCAAUAUGUCAUUCUUAUCCGAAAUGGAUUGGGUAAUCAAGUAAUGAAAUUUCAUGCUUGGAAUCGGUAAUUGCAAUUUUAUCGUGAACGAGGAAUUCCUAGUAAGCACUAGUCAUCAGCUAAUGUUGAUUAUGUCCCUGCCCUUUGUACACACCGCCCGUCGCUACUACUGAUUGGGUGUUCAAGUGAGAUGCUUAGACCCUUGUUGCAUGGUUCAUUAUUGUGCUCCGAAAGGAAAAAGUUUCAAGCUUGAGUGUCUAGAGGAAGUAAAAGUCGUAACA
rnacentral:rRNA from 1 species